GUGCUCGCUUUGGCAGCACAUACACUAAAAUUGGAAUGAUACAGAGAUUAGCAUGGCCCCUGAGCAAGGAUGCCAUGCAAAUUUGUGAAGUGUUCCAAAUUUUU